GGUUUUGUGGAGCGUACCAGGGUAAUUCCUCUUGCAUAUAUAAAAGAAAUGACAUCAAUGUUGACAUACCCAACUCCAAUAAUUCCUAAGGAGUUGGGAUCAGCUACAACAUCCUUUUCCUCCAUCAACUUUUUUAAGGCUCAAGUUUCUAUUGGAACUAGUCUAGAUACAAAAUUUAUUUAUUUGUAUGUCCAGGUCUUGGUGUGUUUUUUCAUAUCUAGAAGCUGUAGGACACAAGUGAAUAUAUCUUAUCAUAUUAGUUGUUGAUAAUAAAAUGAGAGGAAUGAAGUAAAUGCAGAUCAAUUCCAUUUGGCUGUAAUUUCUUGCACAUGGCAGUGGCAGAUGAAAACCAGCAUGACAACUUUCAAUCAAAUGAAACAGCACUUCAUAUAGGAAAAUUACAUUAUAUAAGAACUGAAUGACAAUGACUUUACAAGCACUAGGAGUUAUUAUUUCUGGAUGAUAGAGUAAUUCAAAGACCGGUAAAAUAAUUGGAUGGAUUUGCUCACAUUAAUCUCGGUUUGUUGCAUUUGAUAUAUUUGUUGCAUUUGAUAUAUCUGAUGUAGCAAGGUAAUCACACGGCUUGUACCGUCACUGACAUCAUUUUUGUUCUUCAGCAGCAGAUGUCAUGCUUUAUUUUCUUGUUAAAUUUCCCUGAGAAUUUAGAUUACAUCUUUCAGGGCCAUUUUGGUUUUUACAAUUCUGAAUUAGCUUCAUGAUUUACUGAUCAUCUGUAUGCAAUAUGUUUCAUUUCUUUCAGGUUAUGGUUUCCAUGAGGAUGGA
rnacentral:misc_RNA from 1 species